AGGCUUAAAAGGGCACAAGGCAAGGAAGUGACACCGGGAGAAUCUGUACCCACCACCCGUCUUCUUUCCACUGUGCCUACAUCAGGAGCGCUCUGAGCCAGCAGACACCUGGGAAAAUGGGAGAAGAGGGGUCUGUAAUCUAAGAAAGGUGGUCUUUAUCACCAAUGCUGGUGUCAAGCCAUUGGGUGUCCUCCUACCUUGCGUGACAGAGAGCUACAACUGACACGAAUUCUCCUAAAAGCAAAAGCAAGCGGGUGUUACUGUCACUUACUGGUCAAAAAUCUCACAGUGGAGGGAACUGCUUUGUUCUUUUCAUGCUCUUCCCCUUAGAGAACAAAGCUGAGGCCCCCUGUAUCUAACCAGCCUCUCCGUUCAUGGCCUUCAGUCUACUCAUGCUUUGCAAAGAGAAAAAGAAAAGACAGCACCAAACCAGACUAAACAAACAAACAACAAAGACACCAACCAACACCGCAGCCCCCGGGCUCUCUCUCUGGUCCCGUCAACAUUUACGACAAUUUACUUCGGAAAAAAGAGCCACUGUGGAGACCCAGCUCUACCUUGUGCUCCAGGCUGGAGUCUUUAAACAUCAGUGAGAAUGGCUUGAUAUGCUCUCUUCUCAAUUUAUCGCCACUCCGCAAGUCGAUGCCAAGGAAUGGUCAAUGAGACCUUACUGCAGGAGAGGUCUCCGUGGUAUCGCCGUGGGAAGAGGUUUAAGUUAUUUUCGUAAGCUCGUAGCUUCUGCUCCAAGAAAUGAAAUAACAAGGGGCAGAACUCUGCUGAAAAAACAGUCCAGAUGUUUCCAGCCGGCCUGUGUGGGAUUCCAGCAACUGUCUGUAACCUGGUUCCCAAACUUCAAUCGAGCACACGAGCCCUGGAACUUCACGGAAAAGAAGCGUGAUUAGCCAAAGUUAAUGGACCAAAUUGCCUACUUAAUCCACUCAACGCUCCCUGAAGGCUUCAAAUCCACUUGCCUGUCUGAACAGAGUGAAAAACCAGACCCCUUUAAUGACUCUCCCGGGCUGAACUCAGCGGCUGUCUUCCAAGUCAGGGCUAAGGGCUGCCUGGGGAGAUGUGUUGUGGGAAAAAGCCCUGUUACCAGAAGAGCGCAGGUGCACUGGGGGGAAACGGACCAAGCCCUCCGUGUUCUCUAUCCAAAAAGCCUGCCGCUGUCCCGUCCAGUGAACAUCAAAACUUAAUCUGAUGUCAAAAUGGUUAAAGAUAAAUUACGGAUGGAGAAAAAUUCACCUGUGAUUUCCUGCAUACAAGAUUGAAUACGGACGAUUAGAUUUUCAGCAGCCUACCCCAGAAGCAGUAAGGUCUGAGAAUACACCGUCUUCUUUCUCUUCAGAACCAAGGCCCGAGAUUUCGGGCAUGUUUAGGAGGAGGGGUUCCAGGUCAGGGUUCUCUGGGGUGGGGGGGGGGUGGGGAGAGAAGUGCUCCUUCUGAGCAGUAGAAACCCAGGCUGAGAUGGUGGCCUUGCCGUCCCUCUCCUCCGUGGGUCUUGCUCCCUCACCCUUGGCCUACGAAUGCUUGUCUGUGGGUCUCAGUUUCAUAGCCACUACCUUGGGAAGGUCUUCCCCAAUUACUCUGCCCCCUGUCCUUUGUUAAUGCUGUCCUGCUAUGACAGUAAGUUCACACUGAGCUGUUGACCUGGUGGUAAUCCCAGGGACCAGGAACUCUUUGACAGCUUGGACUUCCUUUCUCAUCCUUCCCCGCCCCCCCCUCACAGUGCCUGGCAAAUGGCCCCAGCACAGUGCCUGGCAAAUGGCUUUUACUCAAUAAACAGCUGAGUAACGAAUGACUGAAUGAGAGAACAAAUGAAUGGGGGGACUGACUUGUUCAAGUGGAUGA